rnacentral:rRNA from 1 species
CCUACGGGCGGCUGCAGUGGGGAAUUUUCCGCAAUGGGCGAAAGCCUGACGGAGCAAGACCGCGUGAGGGAGGAAGGCUCUUGGGUUGUAAACCUCUUUUCUCUGGGAAGAAUUCAUGACGGUACCAGAGGAAUCAGCAUCGGCUAACUCCGUGCCAGCAGCCGCGGUAAUACGGAGGAUGCAAGCGUUAUCCGGAAUGAUUGGGCGUAAAGCGUCCGCAGGUGGCAGUUCAAGUCUGCCGUCAAAGACUCCAGCUUAACUGGAGAAAGGCGGUG